CCCAGCAGUUUCCUGCCGUGGUGCAAAGCUCGGGGAGCGUUUUUGUUGCUGUAUGGAUUUUCUGUUUGGCUGCACAAGGCUCUGCAGGUUGGCUGCCGUGGUUGGAAGGCUCAGCCAGGUUUGGCAUGUCCCUGGACCCGCUGUCCCGGGCUGAGGAGCCCAGGCUGACACUGGGGAUGGCAGCACAGCCCCAUCCUGCUGCUGAGCACCCACCGGAGCACCCCCAGGGCCCCCCGGCUGCAGGCAGAGGGACAUCCUGGGUUCUUGGCUCUGUGGCCCUCCAGCUCAGCACUGCCCAGCAGGGACCACCACAGACCACUGGCCCAGCAGGGACCACCACCCCAGCAUGUCCCAGUGUCCCCAGCAUGGACCUGAGCCCUGCCGUGGACCACCACCCUCAGCAUGGACCAGCAUGGACCAACACGAACCACAGCCCCAGCAUGUCCCAGUAUCCCCAGCAUGGGUCAUCACUGCCCCCAGUGUGGACCACCAUGGCCCACCACCCCACACCCGGCCCGCUGCCCCAGCACAGCCCCUCGGCCUCCAGGACAGCAGCAGGACAUGGGACAGGUUUGGGCAGGUGGCCCUGAGCCCAAAUAACACCCUGAGGCCACGCCUAGACCUGGCUGCACACUCCCCAUGGGGGCCCAGCCCCUCCUGCCCCGGGGCGUCACCACACCCCAACUGACCAGCGGGGACACUGAGGGGGUGACAGAGGUUUGUCUGAGCUGAGCAGGGACUCGGAGCUGAUCCUGGAGGGAAUCAACCAUGUGAGGGGCAUCUGCAAAUCCUGGGAAUUGCUGUCCCUGCCUUGGAGUCUCCACCUUCAGCAGGUUUUGGGAUGACAGCAAGGACCAAGCCCUCUGAGGAGAAAUCCCAUGGAGUGGAGCCAGACAGCCCAGCCCAGAGGGAAGGGAUGAUCCAGGAGGAGGCUCGUGGCUUGUGCAAGGAGAGGUGAGAAGCUCCAGGGCAGUGCCAGGAGAGCUGGAUGAUGCAGAGGGAGGUGCACAAGGAGGAGCCAGUCCCCCAGGGAAGGAUGAGGGAAAGGUGGCAAAGGUCAUAUUUCACAGUAGUCUUGGGUGGGGAAAAAAACCACUUUAUUUUCCAAAUUUGGCACGUGCUGCUGCCUCCUCCCUGCCCAUGGUGUCCCAGCGGAGUCCAGGAGUGGAGGGUGUCAGCAGAGCAACCCACCACUGAUGCCCCAGCAGCUGCUGACCCCAGGAAACCUGAAUAAUCCAUAGAAACCUUCUAAAAAGCAGGAAACCCCAGGAGAUGAGCUGCCUUCCCUCUGGCAGAAACGUGGCCCAGGCACAAGGUGCUUUACAGGUUCUGGGGAAGGGCUGUGCUGAGACCCCUCACACCCUGCCAGCUCCCUCCUCCCCCAGAGCAAGCUCAUCUUUCUCCACCCACCCCAAAAAAGGCAUUUUUAUUUUUAUUAUAUAGAUAAAUCUAUUUUCCAGAAUUUCAGCUGUCAUUAGAAAGGACUUGAGAAAGACACAGACACACGGAGACACAGGGGGUGUUUCCCUCCCUUUUAAUUCUCACCCCGUGCUCCCUCGAGUCACUGACUGGCAGAAAUAAAAUAAAAUGAAAUAAAUAAUAAAAU